rnacentral:rRNA from 1 species
GACGAACGCUGGCGGCGUGCCUAAUACAUGCAAGUAGAACGCACAGUUUAUACCGUAGCUUGCUACACCAUACACUGUGAGUUGCGAACGGGUGAGUAACGCGUAGGUAACCUGCCUGGUAGCGGGGGAUAACUAUUGGAAACGAUAGCUAAUACCGCAUAAUAUUGAUUAUUGCAUGAUAAUUGAUUGAAAGAUGCUAUUGCAUCACUACCAGAUGGUCCUGCGUUGUAUUAGCUAGUAGGUGAGGUAACGGCUCACCUAGGCGACGAUACAUAGCCGACCUGAGAGGGUGAUCGGCCACACUGGGACUGAGACACGGCCCAGACUCCUACGGGAGGCAGCAGUAGGGAAUCUUCGGCAAUGGACGAAAGUCUGACCGAGCAACGCCGCGUGAGUGAAGAAGGGUUUCGGAUCGUAAAGCUCUGUUGUAAGAGAAGAACGGGUGUGAGAGUGGAAAGUUCACACUGUGACGGUAUCUUACCAGAAAGGGACGGCUAACUACGUG